rnacentral:rRNA from 1 species
UACGUAGGGUGCGAGCGUUACUCGGAAUUACUGGGCGUAAAGCGUGCGCAGGCGGUUUUGUAAGCCAGGUGUGAAAUCCCCGGGCUUAACCUGGGAAUGGCAUUUGGGACUGCAAGGCUGGAGUGUGGCAGAGGAGACUGGAAUUCCCGGUGUAGCAGUGAAAUGCGUAGAUAUCGGGAGGAAUACCGAUGGCGAAGGCAGGUCUCUGGGCUGACACUGACGCUCAUGCACGAAAGCGUGGGGAGCAAACAGG